rnacentral:rRNA from 1 species
CCCCCCCGGCNCAGGGGGGGUCUUGGAAAGCCCAAAAAUAAACCCACCCCGGGGGGAAAAGGGGGUGAAAAAAGGGUUUGGUGGGGGAAAAUUGAAAAACCCCCGGGUUUCCCAAAAAAAGGUUCAAUUCAAUGGCCCCCUUUAACCGGGCCAAGGGCUAACCAACCAACCGUACUUACCAAAUUGGGUAAGGGAACCAGAAGGGGCUUGCAAAGCCCGGGCGGACAGGUAAGCCCAAAUUCCCAGACCUAUCUCAGUCCGGAUGGAGUCGCACUGACUCCAUGAGUCGGAUCGCUAGUAUCGCAGAUCAGCAUUGCUGCGGUGAUACGUUCCCGGGCCUUGUACACACCGCCCGUCACACCAUGGGAGUUUGUUGCACCAGGAUCGNAGUGUGGCCGAUGACUGGGGGUGUUNACUCGACCGAAA